AAGGUGAUGGUACAUUGAGGUUAUGGGAUGUCUCUCAAUCACUGAGCACUGGUACUGUUAAUGAUGGAGGGAAUGAGGUACUCUCUUGCAGCUGGAAUAAAUAUGAACAAAAUUUGCUAUGCUCAGCUGGUACAGACAACACAAUAAAAUUGUGGGAUAUAAGACAGUUUACUGUGCCAUUAUUGAUAAUGACUGGUCACUCACAAUCAGUUAGACAAAUCAAGUUUGAUCCACACACUCCGAGCUACCUAGCAUCAUGUUCCUAUGACUUCACUGUCAGACUGUGGGAUACAGCUAAUCCAUUGCAUCCUCUCAUACAAACUAUCUCCCAUCAUAAUGAGUUCACGUAUUCU